ACGGGAGGCAGCAGUGAGGGAUAUUGCACAAUGGGCGAAAGCCUGAUGCAGCAACGCCGCGUGAGGGAUGACGGUUUUCGGAUUGUAAACCUCUGUCUUCGGUGAAGAUAAUGACAUUAGCCGAGGAGGAAGCCACGGCUAACUACGUGCCAGCAGCCGCGGUAAUACGUAGGUGGCAAGCGUUGUCCGGAUUUACUGGGUGUAAAGGGAGCGCAGGCGGGAGAGCAAGUCAGUGGUGAAAUGCAUGGGCUUAACCCAUGAACUGCCAUUGAAACUGUUUUUCUUGAGUGGAGUAGAGGCAAGCGGAAUUCCGAGUGUAGCGGUGAAAUGCGUAGAUAUUCGGAGGAACACCAGUGGCGAAGGCGGCUUGCUGGGCUUUUACUGACGCUGAGGCUCGAAAGUGUGGGGAGCAAACAGGAUUAGAUACCCUGGUA
rnacentral:rRNA from 1 species